UUACAAUUAUUGAUACACUAUUAUACAAAAUAGUGAGGACUACUAAAAAAAUUAUCCUGAACCAUCACUCCAUACCCCUGCUAGAUCCUGCUAUGUUCUCACCUCCUGAGAAGAAAAAUGGAAUAAAAAGGAAAAGGGUGAGCUCAACUAGCCCAGUAAAGAAUAUUAUGACUAAGAUAAUAUACAACAAAUUAUCAAUAGUCUUCAACAAGGAAAAAUCUGAUAGAAUAUAAUAGACAACAAGUUUUAGAUCAAUAACUGCAGCGAAAACAGCAAUCCAUUAGAAGAGUAAAGUAGAGAAAGAAUUCUACUAUCUUCUAAGAUUUAAAAGUUCAUCAUCAAUAUUUUAUCCCUGCAACAUCAAUCAAUAUACGUGACACCCCUAAAUCCGGGUAAUUAAUUUCCACAGUAUUUGGUAUUCACUGUCCAAACAUCAUGUAUCUAUCUACCCAUAAUAAAUGAAAACCAUAAAUAGAUAGAAAUAAAUCCUCUCCUUAUGGAGUUACAACAUCUAAAAAUAAAUACAUCAAUCCCAGGUCAUACUAACCUUAAAUCUCAAAUGCAGAAACAUAAAUAAAUAUUAAGUCUUACACAACUUAAACAUAAGUCUGAAACAUAACAUAACAAAUAAACAACAAGCCUUCAUCACUUGUUAACUUUGCCCUUGCCUUUACUUGAAGAAGGCUCGUCGAACCUUUCGUUCUUAACUGCAAUGUUAUUAUUACGCAAGAGUAAGCACGAUUGCCCACAAGUAUACUAAUAUAACAAUAAAAUAAUAACAUGUGAAUGAAUCAAUAACUUCUGAAAUAAGAAAACUUGGCUUUUGAAUCAAGAAUGAAUAACAAGAAUCAAAAGAACUUCUAAGGGACAUUAGACCUUGAACUACGUCCUAGGUUGUCAAAUAUUUAUACUUGAAACCUUUAAUAGUCAUAAGACUAUGGACUCUUCUUCUCGUACUUAGGGGGAUCAGCCCUUAGUACCAUAUUGUGCACAAUAUCUUAACGCCAUUAUUAAUCCCCUAUAACAGGGUUGUUCAUCUCAGUUUGACAUUAGAGUCCGCACCAAAGGAAGUUUGGUUUGGAUAAGCUCAACAAGGAUUCUGAAAUUUAGAACGUUCAUCAACUAUGGACUAGUCGAAUCAAUAAGGGUUUGCUAGUCUUACAAGGUUCAACAAUAAUUGAUAUUCAAUUUGAAUAAUAAAGUUCAAGAUGUAUACAAUCGAAUAAGUAUUGUAUAGCAGGAAUCAUGCGUUUUAAAGAAUGAUAACAUCUAAUAUGAAAUCUUGACUUGAACAAUAAUAAACAAGAUAGAAUAAGGAACUUCCUUUAUGUAAAGAAACAAGGUUUAGGAACUUGCCUCGUGCAUAGGCUAAACGAUUACUACUUCCGUUCACCACAAAUCCUACACACAUACCAUAUGUAUUCACGACAUUCAUUAGAUACAUUUUCACUUAAUUAUUUAAUAUAAACUCCACUUUAUUUAACGAAUCAUUACCCUUCUAAUUUAAUUAAUUAAUUAAAUUAGAAUAUUUUCAUUNNNNN
rnacentral:lncRNA from 1 species